UAUUAUUGGAAGAUUUCCACUUCCAACAAGAUAAUGAUCCUAAGCAUACUGCUAGAAUUGUAAAAGAAUGGAUCGUAUAUAAUACACCACACAUGUUAAUUACUCCAUCGCAAAGUCUAGACAUAAAUCCAAUUGAAAAUUUAUGGGCUGAAAUGGGAAAAAGAUUAAAUAAAUUUCAGAUAAUCUCAAAGCAAGUACUGAAAGAUAAAAUUAUAGAAAUAUGGAACUCCGUUGAGUGUAGUUUUACAAAAUCAUUGGUUUACAUGGAACGUCGAUUCAGACACACUAUUGCUGCUAAAGAUAAUCUCAAAGCAAGCACUGAAAGAUAAAAUUAUAGAAAUAUGGAACUCCGUUGAGUGUAGUUUUACAAAAUCAUUGGUUUACAUGGAACGUCGAUUCAGACACACUAUUGCUGCUAAAGGUGGUCCAACAAAAUAUUAAUAUUAAAUAAU
rnacentral:misc_RNA from 1 species